UUUUUUUUUUUUAGGAUAAAAUGUUCUAUAGAUAUCUGUUAAAUCCAUUUUGUCCAUAACUUAUGUUAGUUUCACUGUGUCUUUGUUUAGUUUCUGUUUCCAUGAUCUGUUCAUUGCUGAGGGUGGGUGUUGAAGUCUCCAAUUGUUAUUACUGUGUGAGGUACAAUGUGUGCUUUGAGCUUCAGUAAAGUUCCUUUUAUGAAUGUGUGUGCCCUUGCAUUUGGAGCACAGAUGUUCAGAAUUGAGAGUUCUCCUUGGUAGAUUUCUCCAUUGAUGAGUAUGAAGUGUCCUUCCUUACCUUUUUGAUAACUUUUGGUUGAAAGUUGCUUUUAUUCGAUAUUAGAAUAGCUGCUCCAGCUUGUUUCUUCAGACCGUUUGCUUGGAAAAUUGUUGUCCAAUGUUUUAUUCUGAGGUAAUGCCUGUUUUUGUCACUGAGGUGCAUUUCCUGUAUGAAGCAAAAUGUUGGGUCCUGUUUAUGUAUCCAGUCUGUUAUUCUAUUUCUUUUUAUUGGAGAAUUAAAUCCACUGAUAUUAAGAAAUAUUAAAGAAUAGUUAUUGUUGCUUCCUGUUAUUUGUGAUGUUAUUUUUAUAUUUCUGUGGUUAUCUUCUUUUGGGUUUGUUAAAAGAAGAUUACUUUCUAAGUUUUUCUAGGGUGUAGUUUCCCUCCUUGUGUUCGUGUUUUCCCUUUAUUAUCCUUUGUAGGGUUGGAUUUCUGGAAAGAUAUUGUGUGCAUUUGUUUUUGUCAUGGAAUAUCUUAGUUUCUCCAUCUAUGGUAAUUGAGAGUUUUGCUGGGUAUAGUAGCCUGGGCUGACAUUUGUGUUCUCUUAGGGUUUGUAUGACAUCUUCCCAGGAUCUUCUAGCUUUCAUAGUCUCUGGUGAGAAGUCUGAUAGGACUGCCUUUAUAUGUUACUUGACCUUUUUCCCUUACUGCUUUUAAUAUUCUUUCUUUGUUUUGUGCAUUUGGUGUUUUGAUUAUUAUGUGUCAGGAGGAAUUUCUUUUCUGGUCCACUCUAUUUGGAAUUCUGUAGGCCUCUUAUAUGUUUAUGGGUAUCUCUUUCUUUAGGUUAGAGAAGUUUUCUUCUAUAAUUUUGCUGAAGAUAUUUACUGGCCCUUUAAGUUAGGAAUCUUCACUCUAUUCUAUACCUAUUAUCCUUAGGUUUAGUCUUCUCAUUUUGUCCUGGAUUUUCUGGAUGUUUUGGGUUAGGAGCUUUUUGCAUUUUGCAUUUUCUUUGACUGUUGUGUCAAUGUUUUCUAUGGUAUCUUCUGGACCUGAGAUUCUCUCUUCUAUCUCUUAUAUUCUGUUGGUGAUGUUUGCAUCAAUGACUCCUGAUCUCUUUCCUAGGUUUUCUAACUCCAGGGUUGUCUCCCUUUGUGAUAGUUUUGUUCAAUUCCUUCACCUGUUUGGUUGUUUUCCUGCAAUUUUUUAAGAUAUUUUUGUGUUUCCUCUUUAAGGGCUUCAAGCUGUUUAUCUGUAUUCUCCUAUACUUCUUUAAAGGAGUUAUUUAUGUCUUUGUUAAAGUCCUCUCUCAUCAUCAUGAGAUAUGAUUUUAAAUCAGAGUCCUGCUUUUCUGAGGUAUCCAGGGCUCACUGUGGUGGGAGAACUGGGUUCUGAUAAUGCCAAGUAGCCUUGGUUUCUGUUGCUUAUGUUAUUGCCCUUGCCUUUAGACAUCUGGUUAUCUCUGGUGUUAGCUGGUCUUGCUGUCUCUGACUGUGGCUUGUCCUUCCUGCAAGCCUGUCUAUCAGAACUCCUGGGAGACCAGUUCUCUCUGGGAGGAAUUUGGGUAUGGACAGCUGUGGUACAAGGUCAGCUCUGGGGUGCAGACAGAAACUGGAAGGAUCCUGUCCCCAGCUGCUCCUUGCUUCCUAUGUCCUGAAGGCUCUGGGCAGGUCCCAGGAAUUUGAGCAGAAGUGGUGGUCUUACCUGUGCUCACAGGCAUGUCCGAACUCCUGGGAGACUAGCUCUUUCCCAAGGGUAUAUAGAUAUGGAGUGCCAUGGCACAUGAUCUAGAAUUGCUUUAUUGAUACGAGUCAAAAUACACUCAAAGACAAAAGGCGUUGUAAGGCUAGAACUCUUACAUAUGGCUUGAAAUAUAUAAAAUGUUAAAACUACACAUGACAUUGGAAAUGUAUACUAUUUCUAAAAUGGCCUCAAUAUAUGUAAAACAAAAAUUAAUAAAACUUUAGUGAAAUUUCACAUAUUUCUUUAAGGUAUCACUUGAUGGCGCAACAAGAAGUAAUAAACAUGGAAUUUAAAAUGGUAGGAGAAGACAUUUUUUUUUCAUAGACACAGGAAACUGCACCAAGCACCUAGAAUAUGCAGAUCCACUCUGCAUGGAGGAAUUAUUAAAAAAAAAAAAAAAAAGUUGACCUCACACUAAAUGCAAAACUGGUCUCAACAGAUUUCCAGGAAUCACAAUUAAGAUAAUCAUAUAUUUUUUAAAGAUUUAUUUAUUUACAUAUAUGAGUACACUGUAGCUGUACAGAUGGUUGUGAGCCUUCAUGUGGUUGUUGGGCUCCAGUCAACCCCAAUUGCUCUGGUCAGCCCCGCUUGCUCCAACCCAAAGAUUUAUUUAUUAUUAUAAAUAAGUACACUGUAGUUGUCUUCAGAUGCACCAGAAGAGGGCAUCAAGUCUCAUUACGGAUGGUUGUGAGCCACCAUAUAGUGCUGGGAUUUGAACUCAGGACCUUCAGACGAGUAGUCAGUGCUCUUACCUGCUGAGCCAUCUAUAUUUUAUGACAAUUAAGUUACCAUUCAAUAACCAUACAGUCAGCCCCCUCCCAAGUUCCCCUUAAAUGUGGAAAUUUUCAAACAUUUCUGAGUAAAUCACUAAAACGGAAAUUUUUAAAUACUUAGAACUGAAUGGUGAUGAAAAUAGUACAUUUCAGAACUUGAAGGAUGCAGCAGAAGUUAGAUGUGAUAAGCUGUGGGGCAGUAGAGGGCAGGAUGAGGCGAAAACAGUAGGCAGGAGUGACAUUGGCAGUAAAGAUGCUGUCUAGUGAAUCUACAGAUCCCAGAAGAUGCUUCUGUGGAUAGGCUCAUGGUACAGGGAUCAACCAGACUUUUUUUUUUUUGUAACAAGAUCAUAUGUCUGGCUUUGUAGGUGACACUGUCACCACUGCUCAGCCUUGCCACCACAGUAUGAAAGCAGCCAUGUGAUGUAUAAAUGACUGAGUAUGGUUCUGGUCUAAUAGUUCCAUAUAUAAACUAGCAAUGGACCAUACUUACUAUUCAGACUAUGAUUUCCCAGUUGUUGAACUAGUUAUAUGUCUAAAACUGACCGUAAAUGAUGGGAAAUUUGAAUAAGAUUGCUGGAUAUAAGAUCAGUAUACAAAAACAAUUGCCUUUUCAUUUGUCAGUAUCAUGGAAAAGUAACUUUUUAAGAAGUGGUCACUGAGCCAGUGGUACUUGGCUAUAAUUUUACCACUGCAGAGGCAAGAUGGUCAUGUGAUUUAAAAACUAGCCUAGACUACAUAAAAAGAGUCUACCUUAAAAAAUGCUUAGGGUUGAUAGUCACAACAAAAAUAAGUAAUAAGUGUACUAAUGUUCAGAGUCUAAAGAAACUAAAACAAUUAAUUGAUCUGCUUCAAACCAGUAGUUCUCAAAAGUUUGAUUUCCAGAUCCUUCUAUGCUCUAAAAACAGCUGAGAAGUCAUAAGAUCUCUUACUUAAUUGGGCUUUAUCAAUCCGUAGUCAUAAGACAUUUAAGUCAGCUACUAAUUUUUAAAAAUAAUGAAUCUGCUAUACACUAAAUGUUUGACACAUCUUUAUGAAGUAAAUUGCACUUUCAAUUUAAUUGAUGAAAAUGUUUUUAUAUUUUUUCCAGCUCUCUUUAAUGACAGCAUAAAUAAAGGCACUGGAGUCCUGAUAGCUCUUUCAAUGUUGAAUCUGCUGUGCUCUGUAGUUUUACUUUUAUUAUAUGAAAAACCUAUGUGUUGACCUGCAGCUAGAGAAAGGGACCACACUUUAAUAGCUCCCCAGUUUCCAAACAAUGGAAGGUAUCUCUUCUUUGAUACUUUAUCAGUCUUUGGCAGGUCAUAACUAAGAAGGUAGUUGCAAUAUGGGACCUAAAACUGUAUCGCUGAGCUUGUCAUGUUCCAUCAUAUUAAAAUUCAUUGUUCUGCCUGACACCCUUGGAUGCAUCUUUUAUCCAAGGAUGGUUGUGUGAAGGCAGUUGACUAUUUGGAAAAGGCUGGGUUGCCGAGUUAAGUAGCUCUUCAAAAUGAUGAUACUGUUUUAUGUCAAAUUUUUCACUUAUUAACAUGAUCUUCAGGGGGAAAAAAGCUUUCAAGUUCCGAGAAACUGUCAAGCUAACAGUAGCAAAUGUACACUUACCAAAACUCUGAAUUUCAUUUGAAAGCUUAAAUUUUAUCAUUGGCAGCAAAUACUGUCACCUGUUUUUCCUGAAGUGACAAAUCUCACUCACCUUGUUCACUGUCAAGAAAGUAUCUGCCAAAUCCCCACGUCUGGAUAACCUCAGUUUGUCAGCCGUUCUUCCUAGU
rnacentral:lncRNA from 1 species